AUUUUUUUCUUGUAUUAUAACUUUGAAUUAUUUAUUAAGUUUACAAAAUACAAGGUAAUGCUUUGAAAUUAUCUUUCACACAAUCUCAAUUAAAUAAGUGUAAGCUAUUAAUAAACAUGCUUUAUAGAAUACAAAGAGUCUAAAAGUUCGACUACGAACAAAUGACAAACACUUUAUGACCAGCAUAGAGUGUCCAUGACCAGCAUGGUUCUGACAAAGUUAUUCUUCUUCCUAGUAAACACAGAUAACCAAAUAAACUUUUCACAUUUAUAAGACUUAAGGGGAAAAAAAAAAGAUUUGCUUUAGUAGAUAUGGCAGGAGUAAAAGUUUACUCCACAUAAACAUUGGCAUACACACAAAACUUAACAUUAACCACAUUAACAAAAUGUGUAAAUAUAUGUCCUUUUUCAACAUUUCAAUUGUUCUCUUGUUUAUCUAAUCUACAUAUACAAAUCUAUACAAAGAAAUGUACAAUAAAAAUUUUCGAUAUUAAACACUAUUGUAUUGUAAUACACACAUUCAAGUUGUAUUUUAUAUCUAAAUUAAAAGUCAAGAUUAAUGACACAAAUCAUACAAAUUUGAAACAAGUCAUUCAAGUUGUGAUAUCAGAGUCCUUUCAAAAAAUGUUCCUACAGUUUACUGACAGAAAUAUACUACCUGCAUUACUACCUACUACAACCCAUGCACCUUCAAUUAGUGAGUCAAUGGACAUAAAGUAACAAAAUGUUUGACAUUGAAUCAUCACAAACAAGCUGAUUACAUAUUUCUGUUGUAUUAACCAUGUAACAAAAAAAUAAGAGACAACUAAGACAAUUAUUUUACCCAAAUAAUUAUUUUCAAACUAACAUAAACCAGUUUUACAUUUUGUGUGAACUUUUAAAUGGGUCUGUUAGGAAUAUAUUAGGCACUAUGAAUGGGUCAAAUUUAAAAGACAUGCAUAGACAAAAGUUUGUAAAUGAGAGAGUUGACUUAUUAUGGAACAUCAAAUGUAUGAGUUAAAUAUAAUGAGGUGUGACUGUAUUAAUAAAUAUUAAGAAUAAAAACAUUAAAAGAAAACAUGUUAGGAAUCUUUUCAAAAGCAAUGUUUGAAUAUUCAAUCUGUAAAGCCAGCAUUUUAUUUAGAUUAAAGAUCUUAUCAUCAAACUAAAGUCUCAAGUUUACAUGUCAGUAUAGCAUAAUUUUUUAUUUCAGUAGAAUUAUCUGCUAGCAGUGAUUGUCUUGUUACCACUCAGACCUACACAUAUAUCUUUACAUGACACUAAAUGAAAGAUAUUGAGCCACUUGUUAAAAAAAAAUUGAAAUGAUUAAAAAAUAAAAGAAAGGAAAUAAGUAAAUUAUUUUUACAAAUAUAUGAAAUUAUAAUAAAGUUCAAUAACAGUGAAUGAAAGAAAAAUUGUGUUCACAUUAAAGAAACAGUGUUACCAUGAAAAAAAAAAAAGAACAUUGUGAAAUUAAAGUCAAGCCAAAUGUGCUUUACUGACAG